rnacentral:rRNA from 1 species
GAUGAACGCUGGCGGCGUGCCUAAUACAUGCAAGUCGAGCGAACAGAUGAGGAGCUUGCUCCUCUGACGUUAGCGGCGGACGGGUGAGUAACACGUGGAUAACCUACCUAUAAGACUGGGAUAACUUCGGGAAACCGGAGCUAAUACCGGAUAAUAUAUUUAACCGCAUGGUUCAAUAGUGAAAGACGGUUUUGCUGUCACUUAUAGAUGGAUCCGCGCCGCAUUAGCUAGUUGGUAAGGUAACGGCUUACCAAGUCAACGAUGCGUAGCCGACCUGAGAGGGUGAUCGGCCACACUGGAACGGAGACACGGUCCAGACUCCUACGGGAGGCAGCAGUAGGGAAUCUUCCGCAAUGGGCGAAAGCCUGACGGAGCAACGCCGCGUGAGUGAUGAAGGUCUUCGGAUCGUAAAACUCUGUUAUUAGGGAAGAACAAAUGUGUAAGUAACUAUGCACGUCUUGACGGUACCUAAUCAGAAAGCCACGGCUAACUACGUG